AGUGAAUGCAGAGUGUGUGUUAGUGUGUAAUGAAUGCAGAGUGUGUGUUAGUGUGUAGUGAAUGCAGAGUGUGUCAAUGUAAUGAAUGUAGUGUGUGUGUGUUAGUGCAGUGAAUGCAGAGUGUGUGUAAAUUUGUAGUGAAUGCAGAGUGUGUGUUAAUGUGUAGUGAAUGCAGAGAGUGUGUUAGUGUGUAGCGGAGGCAGAGUGUGUGUUAGUGUAG